rnacentral:rRNA from 1 species
GAUGAACGCUGGCGGCGUGCUUAACACAUGCAAGUCGAACGAAGCACUUUUGAUUCUUCGGAAGAGGAAGUGACUGAGUGGCGGACGGGUGAGUAACGCGUGGGUAACCUGCCUUAUACAGGGGGAUAACAGUUAGAAAUGACUGCUAAUACCGCAUAAGCCGAUAGAGUCGCAUGUCUUAGUCGGAAAAGAUUUAUCGGUAUAAGAUGGACCCGCGUCUGAUUAGCUAGUUGGUGAGGUAAUGGCCCACCAAGGCGACGAUCAGUAGCCGGCUUGAGAGAAUGAACGGCCACAUGGGGACUGAGACACGGCCCAAACUCCUACGGGAGGCAGCAGUGGGGAAUAUUGCACAAUGGGGGAAACCCUGAUGCAGCAACGCCGCGUGAAGGAAGAAGUAUUUCGGUAUGUAAACUUCUAUCAGCAGGGAAGAAAAUGACGGUACCUGACUAAGAAGCCCCGGCUAACUACGUGCCAGCCGCCGCCGUAA